GAAAGUUUUUUUAAUUGAUAUUAUUUUGUAUCAUAGUACUUAGGCAAGCGAGGUCCAAACAGCCAAUCCACAAUGCAUGACUAUCAUGAGCCAUCGAGAGUUCUGUUCUUCGCUGACAUAGGAAGGGACGCCGUCUCGUGUUGGAAUACGCAAAGAAAGUUGGAACCGCAAAAUGUUGCUAUUUUGGCGCAGGAUAGCGAAAGAUUGAGUUAUCCCUCUGAUUUGCAUAUUACGGACAACGAAGUUUGGGUGAUAGCGAAUAAACUACCAAGAUUUGGCUACACUGCACUAGAUACAAAUGAGUAUAACUUUUAUAUUUACAAAGCCAACGUAAGGGACCUUUUAUUAGGUACUGUUUGUGAAUAAACAGUUUUAAUUAGUGGACUUCUACGCAGAUGGAACCUGGCAUUAAAAUUUGGUCUCGUUAUUUUAGUAAAAGAAAUAUUUUGUAUAUUUGUAAUAAGAAAAUUAAACGCUAUACAUUCA